GACAUGUACGGAAUCCUCCAGAGACGGAGGAGUGCCUUCGGGAGCCGUAACACAGGUGCUGCAUGGCUGUCGUCAGCUCGUGUCGUGAGAUGUUGGGUUAAGUCCCGCAACGAGCGCAACCCUUGUCAUUAGUUGCCAUCAUUCAGUUGGGCACUCUAAUGAGACUGCCGGUGACAAGCCGGAGGAAGGUGGGGAUGACGUCAAGUCCUCAUGGCCCUUAUGACCAGGGCUUCACACGUCAUACAAUGGUCGGUACAGAGGGUAGCCAAGCCGCGAGGCGGAGCCAAUCUCACAAAACCGAUCGUAGUCCGGAUUGCACUCUGCAACUCGAGUGCAUGAAGUCGGAAUCGCUAGUAAUCGCAGGUCAGCAUACUGCGGUGAAUACGUUCCCGGGUCUUGUACACACCGCCCGUCACACCAUGGGAGUGGGGGAUACCAGAAGUAGGUAGGGUAACCGCAAGGAGUCCGCUUACCACGGUAUGCUUCAUGACUGGGGUGAAGUCGUAACAAGGUAGCCGUAGGGGAACCUGCGGCUGGAUCACC
rnacentral:rRNA from 1 species